rnacentral:rRNA from 1 species
CCCUUAGAGUUUGAUCCUGGCUCAGAACGAACGCUGGCGGCAUGCCUAACACAUGCAAGUCGAACGAAGGCCCUAGCUUGCUAGGUGUCCUUAGUGGCGAACGGGUGAGUAACGCGUGGGAAUCUGCCAUAGAGUGGGGAACAACUUUUGGAAACGAAAGCUAAUACCGCAUACGCCCUCCGGGGGAAAGGCUUCGGCCGCUCUUUGAUGAUCCCGCGUCUGAUUAGCUUGUUGGUAGGGUAACGGCUUACCAAGGCGACGAUCAGUAGCUGGUCUGAGAGGAUGAUCAGCCACACUGGGACUGAGACACAGCCCAGACUCCUACGGGAGGCAGCAGUGGGGAAUAUUGGACAAUGGGGGAAACCCUGAUCCAGCAAUGCCGCGUGAGUGAAGAAGGCCUUAGGGUUGUAAAACUCUUUCGCCGGUGAAGAUGAUGACUGUAGCCGGUAAAGAAGCCCCGGCUAACUCCGUGCCAGCAGCCGCGGUAAUACGGAGGGGGCUAGCGUUGUUCGGAUUUACUGGGCGUAAAGCGCACGUAGGCGGCAUAUUAAGUUAGAGGUGAAAGGCCUGGGCUCAACCUAGGAACUGCCUUUAAUACUGGUAUGCUUGAGUUCGGAAGAGGGUAGUGGAAUUCCAAGUGUAGAGGUGAAAUUCGUAGAGAUGUGGAGGAAUACCAAUGGCGAAGGCAGCCCCCUGGGAUAAUAUUGACGCUCAUGCACGAAAGCGUGGGGAGCGAACAGGAUUAGAU